rnacentral:rRNA from 1 species
AUUGAACGCUGGCGGCAGGCCUAACACAUGCAAGUCGAACGAGUGGCGGACGGGUGAGUAAUGUCUGGGAAACUGCGCGUGGGAGGGGGGUAAAUACUGGAAACGGUAGCUAAUACAGCAUACCAUCGGAUGUGCGCAGAUGGGAUUUGCUUGUAGGUGGGGGAACGGCUCACCUAGGCGACGAUCCCUAGCUGGUCUGAGAGGAUGACCAGCCACACUGGAACUGAGACACGGUCCAGACUCCUACGGGAGGCAGCAGUGGGGAAUAUUGCACAAUGGGCGCAAGCCUGAUGCAGCCAUGCCGCGUGUAUGAAGAAGGCCUUCGGGUUGUAAAGUACUUUCAGCGGGGAGGCGUUACCCGCAGAAGAAGCACCGGCUAACUCCGUGCCAGCAGCCGCGGUAAUAC